AAAUAAGAAGUAAUAAUUACAUUUAAUUUCGACUUAAAAAAAUUGGUGAUCAAACUCACCCUUAUUUA
rnacentral:tRNA from 1 species